rnacentral:lncRNA from 1 species
UUUGUAUAGUUGAAUAUUACAUAAUAUAAUUUAAUAUUACAUGAUAUUAUGUACUUUUUAGAUUUUGAUAUUUAAUUUUAGGGUUUAUAUUUGGGUUAGGGUUUAGUGAUUUGAGUUUAUGGUUUAGUAUUUAGAAAGUAAGGGGUAUGGUUGGGGUCAACAUUAAUUUUUUCCAUGCAAUGAUAGACAUUUCAUAAUUUCACCAAUAUAUACUAUGUUAUUUCUUUUGUUCCAUUCUAUUUGGUUUAGAGUUUUAUACUUGGGUUUAUAGUUUAUAUUUGGGUUUAGGGUUUACUGAUUAUGGUUUAGGGUAUAGUAUUUAGGGGUUGGGGUGGGAUUGGGAUAAGGUUCAGUAUCUAAGGAUUGGGGUUGAGUUAUGUUUAGUAUUUAGAGGUUGUAGGUGGAGUUAUAAUCCAACACUACAUCAAUAAUAUGGAAUAUAACACUCGAUGUAUAUGCAUGUGGUCAAUAAAUGUCAACGUGGAUAUCUUCUCUUUCUUUUAUUUGGAAUAGUUUUCAAAUGUUCUUGACUUUUUAUUAUAUUGGCCACAUUAUUUCCCCCACACACUUACCUUGUACCUGUAAAGAGAAGGGGUAAAAACGGUUACUUUGUGGUAUAAAUGUUAGAAAUUAUAUUAUGUCAAAAUCAAUGACAUUUACCUAAUGUGUAUUGAAAAUAUGGUUUAGGGUAUAGUAUUUAGGGUUUAGAGUAUUGAAAAUAUUUACCUUUUGUUCCAUUCUAUUUGGUUUAGAGUUUUAUACUUGGGUUUAUGGUUUAUAUUUGGGUUUAGGGUUUACUGAUUAUGGUUUAGGGUAUAGUAUUUAGGGGUUGGGAAGGGAUUGGGAUAAGGUUCAGUAUCUAAGGAUGUAUAUGCAUGUGGUCAAUAAAUGUCAACGUGGAUAUCUUCUCUUUCUUUUAUUUGGAAUAGUUUUCAAAUGUUCUUGACUUUUUAUUAUAUUGGCCACAUUAUUUCCCCCACACACUUACCUUGUACCUGUAAAGAGAAGGGGUAAAAACGGUUACUUUGUGGUAUAAAUGUUAGAAAUUAUAUUAUGUCAAAAUCAAUGACAUUUACCUAAUGUGUAUUGAAAAUAUGGCUAGUUCGCAAAUAAGCCAUUUUUAGUUGUUUUCUGGCUGAGUUUUUUGAGUUAUAUUUUUACCUGCUUAUUAAUUGAGUGAAACG